rnacentral:rRNA from 1 species
UACGAAGGGGGCUAGCGUUGCUCGGAAUUACUGGGCGUAAAGGGCGCGUAGGCGGAUAUUUAAGUCGGGGGUGAAAGCCCGGGGCUCAACCUCGGAAUUGCCUUCGAUACUGGAUAUCUUGAGUACGGGAGAGGUGAGUGGAACUCCGAGUGUAGAGGUGAAAUUCGUAGAUAUUGGGAAGAACACCGGUGGCGAAGGCGGCUCACUGGCUCGUAUCUGACGCUCAGGCGCGACAGCGUGGGGAUCAAACAGG